rnacentral:rRNA from 1 species
AGACCCGAAACCCGGUGAUCUAGCCAUGGGCAGGUUGAAGGUUGGGUAACACUAACUGGAGGACCGAACCGACUAAUGUUGAAAAAUUAGCGGAUGACCUGUGGCUGGGGGUGAAAGGCCAAUCAAACCGGGAGAUAGCUGGUUCUCCCCGAAAGCUAUUUAGGUAGCGCCUCGUGAAUUCAUCUCCGGGGGUAGAGCACUGUUUCGGCUAGGGGGCCAUCCCGGCUUACCAACCCGAUGCAAACUGCGAAUACCGGAGAAUGUUAUCACGGGAGACACACGGCGGGUGCUAACGUCCGUCGUGAAGAGGGAAACAACCCAGACCGCCAGCUAAGGUCCCAAAGUCAUGGUUAAGUGGGAAACGAUGUGGGAAGGCCCAGACAGCCAGGAUGUUGGCUUAGAAGCAGCCAUCAUUUAAAGAAAGCGUAAUAGCUCACUGGUCGAGUCGGCCUGCGCGGAAGAUGUAACGGGGCUAAACCAUGCACCGAAGCUGCGGCAGCGACGCUGAUGCGUUGUUGGGUAGGGGAGCGUUCUGUAAGCCUGCGAAGGUGACCUGUGAGGGUUGCUGGAGGUAUCAGAAGUGCGAAUGCUGACAUAAGUAACGAUAAAGCGGGUGAAAAGCCCGCUCGCCGGAAGACCAAGGGUUCCUGUCCAACGUUAAUCGGGGCAGGGUGAGUCGACCCCUAAGGCGAGGCCGAAAGGCGUAGUCGAUGGGAAACGGGUUAAUAUUCCCGUACUUGGUGUUACUGCGAAGGGGGGACGGAGAAGGCUAUGUUGGCCGGGCGACGGUUGUCCCGGUUUAAGCGUGUAGGUGUGUGUUCCAGGUAAAUCCGGUUCACUUUAACACUGAGGCGUGAUGACGAGGCACUACGGUGCUGAAGCAACAAAUGCCCUGCUUCCAGGAAAAGCCUCUAAGCAUCAGGUAACAUCAAAUCGUACCC